UACAGAGGGUGCAAGCGUUAAUCGGAAUUACUGGGCGUAAAGGGUGCGUAGGUGGUUGAAUAAGUUGGGUGUGAAAGUCCUGGGCUUAACCUGGGGAUUGCGCCUAAUACUGUUUAGCUAGAGUACUGUAGAGGAAGGUGGAAUUUCCAGUGUAGCGGUGAAAUGCGUAGAUAUUGGAAGGAACAUCAGUGGCGAAGGCGACUUUCUGGACAGAUACUGACACUGAGGCACGAAAGCGUGGGGAGCAAACAGG
rnacentral:rRNA from 1 species